GAAGAGGACACUGGGGCAUUUAACUGCCAGUGCCCAGCAGUCGUAGUUGAGUCCUGCUGAUGAAACAGAAAACCUGCAACCUGCCCUGUUUGCAGGCAGAACAGACAGUUAAAUAUAUCAGCCAAGGAACAGCAGGGGCUGGUAGCUGAAGUUUGGACAGUCGAGCCCGUAAAUGAUUUAUUCCACUCUGUUAAGCUUCCUGAAUCACAGAGAAGUUGUCAGAAAGAUUUUAGCCUCCGCUAUAGGAAGUCCUGCCCACCUUCUCCAGAUCUCUGUUCUCAUAGUCCAUCCUCUGGUUCCAGGUGGAAGAAUUCUAAAAUCACACAAGAAAAUGUAAGAUAUCUUCCUCGAAUAUCAACAGAGAAGAACAGCAGCCACGUGGAUAAGGCAGAGUUUGGGAAAUCCUGGAUUCCCUUAUCAUAAAGCAUCUUACAGUAACCUCAGAAAUGCAGAAGUUACUUGUAAUGGUGCUGUAGACACUGUACGAGAAAGUUUCACCUUUAUGAUCUAAUUUAAUUCUCACAAAAACCCUGUUAGGUAGGGUGUUAUUAUUUAAAUUUAAAUCAGAGGAAAAUGUAACAGGAAUUCUGCAACUUACAGUCAAAGAGAUAAUAAACAGGAGCAUCUGUGGUUUGAAA
rnacentral:lncRNA from 1 species